rnacentral:SRP_RNA from 1 species
GCUGGGUGUGGUGGCGCACGCCUGUAGUCCCAGCUACUCAGGAGGCUGAGGCAGGAGAAUUGCUUGAACCCAGGAGGCGGAGGUUGCAGUGAGCCAAGAUUGCACCACUGCACUCCAGCCUGGGCAACAGAGUGAGACUCCGUCUCAA